rnacentral:sRNA from 1 species
UUAUUGCUCUACAGAUCAAAAUGCUGAAUACCAUCACAGCCAUGUUAGAUUGUACAGAUAGGCCUGUUCUUCAGGCCAUUUUUCUUAACAGCAAUUGCUUUGAACAUCUCAUACGACUGCUACAGAACUGCAAGGUAUUUUUCUAUUAUUGUUGUUGUCUUUGAUUUUAAGGAGCUAUUUUUUGUUUUUGUUUUGAUUCACAUUUGAACAUAUUUUUACUAAUUUUUGUACUUAAUUUCUGUUUGCAUUUAAUUACAUAACCAAGUUUUAUCUUGAAUUGAAACUAGUAUUAAAUCACUUGUAAUUGUCUAAAUACUUUAAAGGUAGUCAAACUGGAAUUUCUUUGUAUGGGAAGAAUUUCAGUUCAUGAAGUAUAUUAUUUUCAUUCCAUCCAGAAAUAUCCUUGAGGCCCUUUAAGUAAUUAGUUGCUUCUGAGCUCUUCUAACUAUUUAUGUCUGAAUAUACUAAGAUGAGUCUUUGAAAAACAGUUGUUUCUCAUGGAAACACUGUCUUCUACCACAGUUUGUAGACUCCAAGUUACAUAACCUGUAAAUACAGGCCACUGAUUAUAGG